UUACGGUCAAAUCACGCUGAAAACACCGGUUCUCGUUCGAUCACCGAAGUUAAGCAUCGUAGAGCCAGGUCGAGUACUUAGAUGGGGGACCGCUUGGGAACACCUGGUACUGUAAG
rnacentral:rRNA from 1 species